rnacentral:piRNA from 2 species
UCUUCACACAUUCAGAGCCAACAAUUCCCAA